GACACUGUCCGAGAUGGGGAUUGUAACCUUAGAAGAUCUUCCAGAAAAAAGAAAAAACUGGACGAUGAAAAUGCGUCCGCAGAAUAUAACUUGAGGAACAUUACUUUGGUAAAUCGAGUGCAAAGUGAACGCAAACGCCGAGAGCCGAGGCAACCGAAGCCAAAAGCCAAACCACCUCCGCUCAGCAAAUACAGGCGAAAGGCAGCAAAUGCGCGCGAAAGGGGACGGAUGGUGGAAAUCAACGACGCAUUUGAGGAUCUCCGAAAAGUGUUACCCGAUAUAGAAGCAGGGAAAACGUCAAAGCUUACAAAAAUCACAACGCUUAGGUUGGCAAUGAACUAUAUUUCGGCCCUCAGGCAGACUCUGGGUCAUGACGAUGAUUUGAAUUCGGAUGCAUCUUCUCUUCGAUCUUCCAGUCUAUCUUCCUCCGGCGAUGAACAGUGCUUAAGUCCGUCUGACGGUGAGUUAAUACCACCUGACGAUGCAGACAUUCUAGGUGACGAUGAUGCAGACGACAUUCUAGCAGCUAAUAUUGACCUUGUUCAGUUAGAUCUAGACGCAAGCUCAGAUCUGCUGCUAACGUAAAGAAGCUUUAACAACGAGCAGGACCUGUGAUUCUCGACCUAGCCUCGAUCUCAAACUAAUGCUCAGCUUCAAGUGAUGCAAACAACGUGCGACAAGAUACGCUUAGCCUUAAUCCUUGCUCAAUUCAACAGGGGAAGCUACAGUUAUAUCAGAGGACCAAACUGGUUCAAAGCGACAAUUGAAGUGAGGUUUUUGAUUCAGUGGCGUGUUUUGUUGGAUGCCUCGAAAGAUACUCAGUGUUUCGGGGGUCAGAUAACUAUUGACUCGGAUUUCUGCAAUCAAGUUUUUUACUUAAUAGCAUAAUCAGCGAACAUCCUCAAAGACCGUUGUUUAUUUUGUGAUAUGACAUGUCUCAAGACGAAACUUUUAAUUUUUUUAUGGCUAAAUCUAUUUUUAUUGAUUUACAUUGUAAAUGAUUGUAAAUGAUGUCAAUGUCGUAAAUCACGACAAUGCUGUAGUGUUUGUGACAGAAAAGAACUCAUUGACGGCGGACCCACGACGUUUUUAUAUUACUCUACCUCAGGAAAGUUUUAACUUACAGACUUGAAAUGACUUCAAGAGGCCUGCACAUUUAAUGCAUCCCCUCUAAAAGACAAUAUUGAAGUACCAGGAAUACAAAUAUGAAUGGACACGAAACUGUGAAUAAUCUGUAUUUAAAAGCAGAAAACUGUUUUUAUUCUCAACGAUGAACAAUAUUUUUGUAACUAUUUAUAUAUCUCUACCCAUAUAGACUUAACACAAUGGAAAAAAUCUGUACCAGAUUUUGUAGAGAGAAUUAUCUUUUUAUAGACAUGAAAGAUUUAUUGAUGUUUC
rnacentral:misc_RNA from 1 species